rnacentral:lncRNA from 1 species
CGGCCCCUCGGGAUCCUCACUGUCCAGCUGCGCCUCACACACAGUGUGGGGAGGAGGUGGAGGGAAGUCAUCCAUGCUAUACACCGGGGUUUCCUGACUCGGUGGAGGAGGUGGGGGUGGGGAAGGAGGUUCAAAUGUGGGGCUGGACGUGGCCUUGGGGUGCAGAUCCCUCACAAACACUUCGUCUUCAUAAUCCUCAUGAGGUGGCGGGGAGUCCCGCAGGACAGACUCAGAUAUUCGGAGGGAGAUCCUCCCUGGAGUGCUCGGGGCCCCAAGAGGUGUGUCUGGGUCAGAAGUGCCGCAUAAACUUGGAAGACUCUGCUGUUUUUGAUAGUGCUUCAGGUUUGCAAAAUCAGGGGCUGAGGAUUCCUCUAUGUUCUCUAUAGACUCUCUGGCUGCGUGGGCCCACUUUGCUCGAGAAGGAGGUGGCCACUGAGGCAGCGAGACCCUCUUCCUCGUUCCCUCUUCUACCCCAUGCUCUGGGCCAUCACCCUCACAGCCUCUUGGACCGGGAGGCUGGGUCAGGGUGUGACCAUUGCUUCUGUGGGUCAUGGCAGGGGUGUAGGGCGGGAGAGGCUGUCGCCCUGUCUGACCGUCCUGUGAGCAGUAGCCAGAGGGAAUGGCUGAAGGCAGAGGGGUGCCAAUUGGGGUCAGGGGUGCAGCCCUGGUGUCUGUGAGCUGCCCUUGAGUUCCUGCCAGUGGUGGCCUGGGGCAGGGUGUCCUACUGGCUUGCCUCUGAUGGUCCAGGGUUCCAGGACAUUCACUAGGAACAGAGGAAUCACCAAUGGCUUUGCAGCCUGAACCACCCCAACGAGGGGUGAGAUGGUGGAAGAGCAGCAGCAUCUCUU